UUGUCGCAGUUAUGGGGAGACAUAGGGGGAUGCCACCAGCAUGUGGUUCUAGAGCCCAAACCUAGCACAGUGUACAGAACUGCCCCUUGGCAGAGCAGAGGCAGACAGGUCCUGCUUUACACAUGUUGGAUCUGGACAUUUGUAGUUUAUUCUUGCCAUGUGAGCCUCAUGUACAGUUCCUUCCUGCCUUCCUUCCGUCCCUCUUCCCUCCCUCCUUUCUCCCUUCCCCCUCACUCCCUUCCUUUCUUACUUCUGGCCUACUGUCUCUCCCUACUUUUCCCUAGCCCUUUCCUUCCCUUCACCUCCAUCUCCUACCUUUCCACUUCUCCUUCCCCCCUUUUCCAUUCUCCCUUCCCUCUUUUCUUUUUCCUCUCCCUCCCAUUGUCCUUUCCCCUUUAACCUUACCCUCUCUUACCCUCCAACCAAUUUCCUUCUAUUUUAUUUCCUCUUGAUAUAUCAUACUCUGCUCUAUAAUAUUGUUCGAGGAUUUCCAUGAUUUACCAAGAAAAUGUAAUAUUUCAUUUGAAAUAUUAUAUAGUAAAUUAUUUGUGAACUAACUGGAAUGACUUCAAAGCAGCUGUUAAGCUGUGUUGAGCCAAUAAGGAAAUAUAUAUGUAUAUAUAUACAUAUAUAUAUAUAUAUAUAUAUAUAUAUACAUAUACAUAUAUAUAUAUAUGCAUGUGUGUAUGUAUGUAUCAUAUCUCUUAAAAUAGUGGGAACUCCAUCCAUGUUUCUUGUUUUAUCUUUUAUCCUAAAAGCAGUAUAUUACUUUUAUCCCCAAAGUACAUAAAAAGGAAAAGGGGAAUUAGCCUAAAGAAUAAUUGAUAAUAAUAUAGACAUAUUUGAGGGGAGAAUUAAAGAUAUUAUUUGAAUUUAUAUAUACAUAUGUAUACACACACACACACAGAUUAAAGUAAAGUAAAGCUGAGGAACUCUUUAGCUUUCCCAAUAAUGCAGGGUUUUUUUGUUUGUUUGCUUUUGUUUUUGUUUUUCACCCUACUGACAACUGGUGGCCUCUCUUCCUGGCCCUGCUCAAUGUCCAUCACUACUGGAGCUUUCUGGCUGUGAUUUAGAAAGGGAUCCCGAGACCUCGGUUGGCUUCCCUAGUACUCUGUGCAGGAGGGUGACAGAUCUGAUGGCAGAGUCUUAAUUCCUGCCAACUUUAGAACCCAGAACACCUCACUCCUUAGAAGCCAAGUUUCAGAGUUGCCAAGUCUGACAGUAGCUUGUGCCACCCUUCAGUUUCUGCUUCAGGCUAUACAAGGUUCUUCAAGAAUUGGUCAGAGUAGACAUGACACAGCAGCUGGGCAGUUCAGAUCCACGGUGCCGAGAACUUCUUCUUGUUUAGUGCGUCGGUUCAGGGGAUUGCCUCUGGGCCCCCGAAGGCAACUACACCAUGCUCUACUGAUGGCUUCCUGGAGCCCUGAGCACCUCAGCCCUGCGCAGCUCUAGUGAAUUCCCACCCACCAACAACUAGAGAAUUAGCUUUGGCGCUGCCUCUUUCUGGGGUGCCUGUGAAUUUGCCCUACAUUGGCUUUGGGGGGGGGUCAUGUUGUCAUAUUGGGUGGUACAGAAUUGUUUCCAUUCAUAGUGAGCAGCUACAGAGAUGUCAUUUGACCUGUCGCCAUUCCACGAAGUACAGGCUACCAUUUUGAUAAAUCCAUUUAUUUGAGCAUUUCCAUUUAUGGGAGAUGGUGUUUGUUUUACAUCAUCAAUUAAUUUUAUAGAAAUGCUCUUUUACAGAUCAUUGUCCUUGUUUUUAAUUUUGAUUAAACACUAAUUAUCUAUGUUAGGUCCUCAGUAUUUCUCUGAUAUUUCGUAAACCCCAGUAUAAUCCUUUGAAUAAAUCUAAAGCAAUAUGCUUAUUAUUGCUUUCAGAAUGUGUUUUGUAAAAAGGCCGGUUAUGUGAUAUUUGUGUAUUUAUAGGUUAUGAAAUCUUUGUAGAGUGCCUUUUCUUUCAUGUUUAGGCAGCAAGUAGUUUAAAGCUGUGAUAAAACCUAGACUAACUCUUUCAUUAUUGUAUUAACAUUUGAUAAAAUACAUCUGUAAGCCUUCAUUCCUUCAGAGAAUGCUCUCAAGUUCUUCCCAGAGUAACAUAACCUUCCUGCAUCCCAGAAGGCAGGUACUCCAGAAGCUGUCAGCCCCUUUCAAAGCGAAUACUACCCCCGAUGAAUGGGCUAGCUGCUAGCCAAGUGAGGCUAUUGCCAUUAAAUUUAAUGAUGAAAACUAGAAACGAAUUUUAAAAAUUAAGUUUCUCAGUUCCCACCAACUACAUUUCAAAUCCCCUGUCUCAUGUCCUUGCUAUCUCCAUUUUGGAUACGCACAGGGAUCUCUUGCACCAGUCUAGGAAUUUUUGUUGGAGAAAUCUCCAUCUGAGAAAUGGAAGAGCGUAUGAGUUACAGAAGUUGCUCAAGGUCACAUGGAUCCUGAAGAGGCGGAGUCCCUCCCGCCAUGUAUUUUAGUACGCCUUUUCACUGUUUCCUUAACGUUAGAUAAGAUGACAUCAGUGCCCCUUGUAUUUUACUAGAUGCUCAAGCCAAUUAUAUGUGUUGCUCUUUAAUUGAAAGUUAGCCAUUGAUACACUCAGUAUUUUUCACGGAUCGGUCCCUUCGCCUGUUUGCAUAGAGCAGGGACUUGGAAUCCCCUUCAACCACCUCAACCAACGGAACCGUGAAGGACAGGAUUCACCAUGCCUUAAGACAUCUUAAGCUUCUUAGCUUCUUAAAGACGAUCAAUACAUGUUGACAUGAAAACACUACAAUAAAUGUGAUGCAUCUGACCUGCACACCCAUGACUCUAUACAGUAAGACAGAGAUCUUCACUGGAAGGCUCUCCUGUCGUCCACAGAAAGCAGACUGCUCUUGUAGAGUUGUUCUGCUAAAAAGUUACAGUUUUCUGAAAGUAGAUGAGAUGCCUGUUCAGGUGUUUAUGAGCACAGGGCACAAAUUCAUUAGUUCCGUUGUACCUCAUACCUUACCGUUCCUGAGUAGACAGUGAGGAAUACCGACGUUUCCCCAUAUAGCGCGGCUGCGCAGACUAGGUGCUUGGCACAUGCUCCCAGUACUUUCUUCUUGGGCUUAUUGAUGGUACCACAAGCCCCAGUUUCUCUUAGUAAUAAUCAUGGUGUCAAGAGGCAUUUGCUCUCUGUGCGCUCUUUCAGUUUGGACCACAUUUCGUUCCUGUAAUGCAAAUACCACUUUAAACUUAGCAAUGCCAAUUUGCAUUAAUAUUUUGGUUUCAUAUAGCUAGCUAUUGCAUCUCAGAAACAAGUGCAUUUUAAUGAGUACUGGCAGAAUGAUAAAAAGGUUAUUCAUUAAAUACUAUUGUAGAAAAUACAGCAGUUGGUUGCCAGAAAUCAUUAAAGCCAAAUAUAGUGUGCACUGAGGCUCUGAGGACGUCCCUCUUUAGGAGUGUGCGACCCUGUGGGAUUCAGUGCAGGAAGAAUCAAUGCUAUUCAUGAAGGCAUGAAGGGUGGGGUUAAUUAAUACAGAAUACAAGCCAGUACACCAUUGACACCAGUGUUGAUUUUUAAGUUUUAAACAUAUUUUACGUUUUUUUAUAUCUGUCAUGAGGUCAUAGGGCAUCGCCUCAAAAUUAAUGCAAAGGACUUUUGACAGUCAGAAAGGCUGAGUUGGGAAGUAAUGUGUGUUCUUAAAGCUUACAUUUUUGGUCUUAAAUCCAGAGUGGAGUUCCCACCCUCCAUUUUAUGAUUUUUUCCCCUCCCCUUUCUGGGAAUGCUUUAUGAAAAUAGUGAGCAAUGUAUUUUCUUUCUUCCUUCCUUUCUUUCUUUCUUUCUUUCUUUCUUUCUUUCUUUCUUUUUUCAUUUUCAGGGUAACGUAGGGAAAAAAUUACAAAUUUGCAACUGGCUCUUUAGAAAUCCUCUACUUUAACACAUGCGCUCUCUCGCUGCUGCUGCCAUGGCUGUCAUAGCUUGUGGUUCCUAAUUAUAAUGAGCUUUUUUGGUGGUGUUAUUGCAGUUGUUUUUCCCCACACCCCCCUCAACUCACUUUUCCCAGAAGAGAGUUCCAAGCCUUUGAAAAUUCUCAUGAUUUUGCAAAUCCACUCUAUUUUUGUCGCGAAUACAGGAAAGUUAAAAUUGGCUGGUCGGCUGCCAUGUUUUGAAUCCAAUUUUAAAGCAACCCUUUGCAACCCGGGGAGUGAAACUGACAUCUUUGUAUCUGUAAUGAAGAUAAUUACACCUGCAAGGUGACAUCACUAGCAAAGUGACAAACGCACUUGAGAACCAAGUCCCCUGUCUCCUCUGAAUCCCGUAGACCACUUUUGGCAUUCAGUUCUAGACACCUCUUUCAUGCCUGUCGUUUGAGAAGUUGCUUUCAGAUGAAUUUGCUAAAGCUGACUGACACGGGGUUAAAUUAAUUCUUUUCUUUAUUAGUCGAAGUGAUACAGACCGUUCUUGGACUAAUGUAGCUUAAUUAGUGGUCAAUUAAAACCGAACAUUGCUGAAUUGAAGUUCUUUGAUCAGAGUCCCUGGCAUGGGCUCCCUUUCUUUAACUAGCCACCAUCUUGAAUUCAUUUGGAAUCAGUAGUAUAAACAAGUUUAAAACUGGUUCUUUUAUAAGAAAGUCAGCAGGCUUGUAUAGCUGCGGCUUCCUUUUUUUACUUCUGUAGGCGGCAAUUCAAAGGCUAAAUGAAAACAGCGCUACACCCUGGGGGGGGGGGGAGGGGGGAAAUACAUUUUUAAAAGUAACAGUAAGUAGUCAGUAAGCAGUCAGUGCCCCAACCCGUUUAUCUGUAAAUAAUUAAUACGCACUUCCCCAAUAUAAAGGACCCCUCCCCCAACUCUCCCAGUAAUAAUAAAAAGUGAAGGGCCCAUAAUCAACCUACCUGACUGUCUCUGGCAGUAGGGAAGGGUGACUGCUACAGAGAUGGGUCCUAAAUUCCUUCUUCAUUGCUCAUGGGAUAAUAUUUCAUCUCUGUGCCUUUGAGAUUGGGUCUGAGAUACCAUGUAAGUUGGUUGUGGAUUUCAUCAUUUCUUUUAGAGGGAGGGCAUAGCUAAAUUCAUAUGAGGACUGAGGGGUAGAAUUCUGCACUGUCACUUGAUUUAAAGUGUCUAGUGCUUUUGGGAGAGUGUUGGUGCCGUUAUCCUCCCCCCUUUCCCCAAAAAGGAGGUGGGAAGGAGAGAAGUUACUGCGUAGCUAAUGCAGACUCAUCCGUUUCCCCGUGCCCUGUCUUAAUAUUUAAAGUAUGUGCACUGCUCUUGUCUAAACAUAAAUUGAUACCGUUCAGAAAUCCCAGGUUUUGAAAGCUUAUCAACCUGAAAGUACCAUAGACGACGGCAUUCAGUUGAUGCUGUGCACUUUAAAGUAUUAAUUAAAGCCACUAGUUUUUGUACUACAAACCAAAGUAAUAAACUACAACGAAAGAAUGAAUUGGCCGUCCAUAAGUGGCCUCUUCUGGAUUGUUCUCAAGAAGGAGAAAGGGAGAGUUUGGAAGUGACCGGGUACUUUCCCCCCUCCACAACAAAUGAUAAGAUUUUUGUAGUUUUCGUUCCAUAUAUCC
rnacentral:lncRNA from 1 species